GAUGAACGCUGGCGGCGUGCCUAAUACAUGCAAGUCGAGCGAACGGACGAGAAGCUUGCUUCUCUGAUGUUAGCGGCGGACGGGUGAGUAACACGUGGAUAACCUACCUAUAAGACUGGGAUAAAUUCGGGAAACCGGAGCUAAUACCGGAUGAUAUUUUGAACCGCAUGGUUCAAAAGUGAAAGACGGUCUUGCUGUCACUUAUAGAUGGAUCCGCGCUGCAUUAGCUAGUUGGUAAGGUAACGGCUUACCAAGGCAACGAUGCAUAGCCGACCUGAGAGGGUGAUCGGCCACACUGGAACUGAGACACGGUCCAGACUCCUACGGGAGGCAGCAGUAGGGAAUCUUCCGCAAUGGGCGAAAGCCUGACGGAGCAACGCCGCGUGAGUGAUAAAGGUCUUCGGAUCGUAAAACUCUGUUAUUAGGGAAGAACAUAUGUGUAAGUAACUGUGCACAUCUUGACGGUACCUAAUCAGAAAGCCACGGCUAACUACGUG
rnacentral:rRNA from 1 species